UACGUAGGUGGCGAGCGUUAUCCGGAAUUAUUGGGCGUAAAGGGUGCGUAGGCGGCUUAUUAAGUCUGUGGUUAAAGUGCGGGGCUCAACUCCGUAUUGCCAUAGAAACAGGUUGGCUAGAGUACGGCAGAGGGGGGUGGAAUUCCACGUGUAGCAGUGAAAUGCGUAGAUAUGUGGAGGAACACCGGUGGCGAAGGCGGCUACCUGGACCGAUACUGACGCUGAGACGCGAAAGCGUGGGGAGCAAACA
rnacentral:rRNA from 1 species